rnacentral:rRNA from 1 species
UCCAGACUCCUACGGGAGGCAGCAGUGGGGAAUAUUGCACAAUGGGCGCAAGCCUGAUGCAGCGACGCCGCGUGAGCGAAGAAGUAUUUCGGUAUGUAAAGCUCUAUCAGCAGGGAAGAAAAUGACGGUACCUGACUAAGAAGCCCCGGCUAACUACGUGCCAGCAGCCGCGGUAAUACGUAGGGGGCAAGCGUUAUCCGGAUUUACUGGGUGUAAAGGGAGCGUAGACGGGCCAGCAAGUCUGAUGUGAAAACCCGGGGCCCAACCCCGGGAGUGCAUUGGAAACUGCGGGCCUGGAGUGCCGGAGAGGUAAGCGGAAUUCCUAGUGUAGCGGUGAAAUGCGUAGAUAUUAGGAGGAACACCAGUGGCGAAGGCGGCUUACUGGACGGUAACUGACGUUGAGGCUCGAAAGCGUGGGGAGCAAACAGGAUUAGAUACCCUGGUAAG